UUUGCUCAUAAACCCAUCAAUUUUUUCUCUCAAUCAGAUAUCGAAGUUCUCCGCUAAGCUGACCAGUGACCACUGAAUCAGUUACCAAAGCAGCUGAAAUCUCAGCGCCUCGGCAAAGGAAAGAGAGUGAAAUGACGGGAGAAGAAGCGGCGGGUCCGCCCGGACCUAAGGUCCUGCGCCUCCUCAUUUUCGUCGGCGCCGGAUUUCUUUUUACCAUUGGAAUUAACAAAUGGCGAGAGAUAGAGCAAAAACAGGCUCAACAACAACAACGAAUUCAUCAGCAACCGAAAAUUUUAAGCUCCGCCGAUGCUGCUACUAAACCCAUCGAAUAAUCUCAGGUUCUUUCAAAUGUCUACAUCUGAAAGCAACGCAUGAAAAAUGGUAUAGACUUUAGAUAGCUUGCAUUUUGUGGAAACUGUGAAUCAGCAGCAGCAAGUUUCAACUAGAGGUGAUAAUUAUUCUGGUUUGGGUUCAAGUUGAAUUUAGGCUGUUUCAGGGUUCUUUAUUUUUCUGGAUUUGAUUUAUUUUGUAUUCAGGUUCUUUCGGGCCGGAUCCUUUCGGGUUCUGUUUCCGAGUGGCAAGUUCUAAGCAUCAGUAAUUAACUAAUUACUACAUUUGUUGUAGAUAGUCAAUUCUUUGGAUUUGGUUGCAAACUGCCAUUGAGAUAAUGAGCAGAUGUCUAUCAAAUAACGGGGCCUGUUCGGUGAGAUAUUGGGUUUGGGUUAGACCUAUAACUGGACCAAGUAGCCUCCCUAGUCACCAAACCUGGAUCAUUUCAAACUAGGCUUUGUCAAUGAUUUCCAAGUCUUACCUGACCCAAAAAUAUAUUUUAAUUAUUUCAA